AGGAGCGGGCCCCGGCUGAGGCGGUAGGAGCGGGCCCCGGCUGAGGCGGGCGUUGGGCGGGCGCUGCCCUCAGCCACGCGCGGGGCGGGGCCGGCGCCAGGCGCGGCGUGUGCGGAGCUGAGGGCACCGACAGCUCGACCCGGAGGCAGCGCGGGCCGCAGGCAGUGCUACGGGAGGCGACUCCAAGUCUACUUCUGAUGCCUCAGAGUAACAACAGAGAUAUCGGUGCUGUGUUCAGUGUAUUCUUCAAGAAUCAAUGGGAAUCAAAGUGAGAAUUCCACCAUGA